UACGUAGGGUGCAAGCGUUGUCCGGAAUUAUUGGGCGUAAAGAGCUCGUAGGCGGUCUGUCGCGUCGGAUGUGAAAAUCCGGGGCUCAACCCCGGACUUGCAGUGGGUACGGGCAGACUAGAGUGUGGUAGGGGAGACUGGAAUUCCUGGUGUAGCGGUGAAAUGCGCAGAUAUCAGGAGGAACACCAGCGGCGAAGGCGGCGCUCUGGGCCGGAACUGACGCUGAGGAGCGAAAGCGUGGGUAGCAAACAGG
rnacentral:rRNA from 1 species